CCAGUCGAUGAUUCACAUCUUUCCUCGCCGCCAGAAAACAGAGCCCCACCAAGUGGCGGGCUUCCUUGUGAAAAGCAGCUUUGAUGAAGAGGCUUUUUGAUGUCCUUGCUAACCUCAAAUUCAUUGCUAAAUUCAUCCUUAUCUAAAGGUGAUGCGGUACCUGACGCUCCAUUGCUCACACCAGGUUCAAUUUGAAGGUAUUCAUACCCCCGUUGUGAAUUCAAAAGGUCACCCUCCACUGGAAUGCUGGAUCUUCCAUCAGCCAAAAAGCAAGUCUCCAAGAAAUAACUUCCUUUUAAUGAAAAUCUGUUACCAGAUGUCCAUCCAUGGAGGUCAAUCUUCCGGAGUACUGGGGAUAAGCAUUCAGCAAACGGACAAUCCAACAAUUUAGAUGAGUAUUUGGGCUGAGAAACAAGUUCCCUCUUAGAAUUUUCCUCUUCAAGUUCUGGAGUAUGUUUCUCAAACUCUCCAAAUAUGAUUCUUUCACAUUCCUCACGAAACAAAUGAUCACCCUCUUUGGAAAGAUUCUCCAAAGGAGAAGAGUAAAGGUGAGGAGAAGACUGAUGAUAUUGGAACCUGCUACUUUCUAUUGUCCAAGCAUGGCGGUCAAUCUUCCAGGGCACUAUGGGCAAGCAUUUGGCAAAUGAACCAUCCGACAACCCAAAAGAAUAUUUUGGCUGAGGAACAUACUCCAUUUCAGUAUUUUCCUCUUGAAGCUCUGCCGGAUCUUUCUCAGCAUCUCCAAAUGUGAUUCUUUCACAUUCCUUACGAAACAAAUGAUCUCCCUCUUUUUUAAGAUUCUCCAAAGGGGGAGAGAAAAGGUGGCGAGAAGGCUGAUGAUCUUGGAACCAGCUACUUUCUAUUGUCCACACUCGGUGGUCAAUCUUCGGGGGCACUAUGGGUAAGCAUUCAGCAAAUGAACCAUCCAACAAACUGGAAGAGUGUUUUGGCUGAGAAAAAAAUUCCAUCUCAGUAUUUUCUUCUGCAAGUUCUACAGGAUCUUUCUGGAACUCUUGAAAUGUGAUUCUUUCACAUUCCUUAUGAAACAUAUGAUCACGCUGUUUGGCAAGAUUCUUCAAAGGGGAAGAGUGAAGGUGAGUAGAAGACUGGUGACUUUGGAACCUGCUACUUUCUAAUGGCAGCUCAGCAUCCUCUAACAUAUCCACAUCAAAAGAAUCUAGCAACAAAAAGAAAACUUAAUAUGUCAGCACAGAGGAAUAAAAAAAAGUUUUUCUGGAGAAAUCAAUGGAAAAAUUAACUAAUGAAAAAGUUAUUCCUCUAGCAUCCACAAGAUAUUAUGCCGCAUUAAAUGAAAUAAUUCUAAUAUAAAGGGGAUGAAGAACUUGACACAGAUAGAUUUUUGACGUACAAAAGUAUGAAAGGUACCUCCAGCAGAUAUGAUGUUGUUAUGUUUAUUCAACAUUUCAUCUUUUCCAAAUUUAUUGGCUGUGCAACUCAUGGAUACUCCUGGAAAUUUCAGUCAUUAAGAAUCACUUCUUGACCCAUUAUAUGAAUGCAACAACCAUAGCAAGCAAUUUUCAUGAGAGUGAGUAUACCAUGCGCUAUUUUUUUCAUCCAUGCAGAACGGAUAGCCCGCUCAAUGAAGGCAAGUACAGGUUCCCAGUCCUGGAACAAGAGCGAACAGACAGAGCUCAAUAGCCCCAAAAAAGCUAAAUAAAUAAACCACUUGAGGAUGUUAAUAAAUAUACAUAAUUAGGUCACAAUUCAUGAUCAGACAUGAAAUUCAUUACCUUGAAUACAACAUGUGUCUUUAAUGGGUCAAAGGUCAAAUCAUAGAGAGAAUGUGGGCAACGUAAAUUUAACAGGUAAGCUGGACAUGCUUGAGACUUACUUCUCUUUCCUUUAAGGAAUCCAUUAUUGGCCUUCCAUGAAUCCGAACAAUCAAAACUAGCAGCCAAAUGAUUCAACAACUUGUGGAUGGACCCUUUGCAUACAUACCUUGAAUUAAUAUCUGACAUUAUGAAGGUCUACAAAAAACCCGCUUCCGCUUCCGUUUGUACUUGAAGCACCCAGUCGAUGAUUCACAUCUUUCCUCGCCGCCAGAAAACAGAGCCCCACCAAGUGGCGGGCUUCCUUGUGAAAAGCAGCUUUGAUGAAGAGGCUUUUUGAUGUCCUUGCUAACCUCAAAUUCAUUGCUAAAUUCAUCCUUAUCUAAAGGUGAUGCGGUACCUGACGCUCCAUUGCUCACACCAGGUUCAAUUUGAAGGUAUUCAUACCCCCGUUGUGAAUUCAAAAGGUCACCCUCCACUGGAAUGCUGGAUCUUCCAUCAGCCAAAAAGCAAGUCUCCAAGAAAUAACUUCCUUUUAAUGAAAAUCUGUUACCAGAUGUCCAUCCAUGGAGGUCAAUCUUCCGGAGUACUGGGGAUAAGCAUUCAGCAAACGGACAAUCCAACAAUUUAGAUGAGUAUUUGGGCUGAGAAACAAGUUCCCUCUUAGAAUUUUCCUCUUCAAGUUCUGGAGUAUGUUUCUCAAACUCUCCAAAUAUGAUUC
rnacentral:lncRNA from 1 species